rnacentral:tRNA from 1 species
GGGCGGUGGUGUACGUCGUCGGCUCGCUUUACACCCGAGCGGUCGCAGGUUCGAACCCUGCCGCGCCCACCA